rnacentral:rRNA from 1 species
UACAGAGGUCCCCAAGCGUUUGUUCGGAUUCAUUGGGCGUAAAGGGUGCGUAGGCGGCGCGGUAAGUCGGGUGUGAAAAUCUCGGAGCUUAACUCCGAAACUGCAUUCGAUACUGCCGUGCUUGAGGACUGGAGAGGAGACUGGAAUUUACGGUGUAGCGGUGAAAUGCGUAGAUAUCGUAAGGAAGACCAGUGGCGAAGGCGGGUCUCUGGACAGUUCCUGACGCUGAGGCACGAAGGCCAGGGGAGCAAACGGG